GGCAAUGGGCCAGGCGCCUGAUCCAGCCAUAUAGGAAGGGAGCCCCUCUUUAAUUAGGGAAAAACUGUCUCAAGAAAAGUGAAAGAAUGAUAGAACUAAACUACAAAUCCUGACCAAACUCGUGCCAGCAGUCGCGGUAAGGCGAGUAGGAUAAGCGUAAUUCAUAAUAACUAGGUGUAUAGCGUCUGUAGGCGGCGUAGGGAAACAGGCGGGCUCCGGGGUCUUCACUCCGGGGUUGGGGUUUGCCUAGCUAGAGUGUUAAAUAGGUAAGGGGAACUAAAAUAAGAGGGAUAGAAUCUAAUGAAAAUAUUAUGACCACCAUGCGAAGGCAUCUUUCUAUUUAACACUGACGCUAAGAGACUAAAGUGUGGGUAGCGAAAAAGAUUA
rnacentral:rRNA from 1 species